AUAAUUCAACAGAACUCACACUUACUGUUGCCAACAAUCAGCCUUGUACCAGUUCCAAAGAUCAUUUUGUUGGUGUUCUGUGUCACACAGUACUUUAGUCUCACACAUAUACUUCAAGGCAAAUGGGGAAAUCUGAAGUCUGAAAUUAACACAAAUUUUUGCUAUUUUGACCAACAAUCUACACUAGUGGAUCAGUAGAAUUUUGUAAAAGUACUUACUGGAAAAGACAGCUAGUUUGGUUCCGGUUGCAAAGAUUAUUUUCUUCAGUCCAGUAGUUACACAAUAUGGGGCAUCCCAGCAAAAACCAGGCUUAUGCAUGUACUUUUGCACAAAGCUCUCAUCACAAGAUACCUUGGUUUAUGCUAAUUUUGUAGAUAUAAUUAGAAAACAUUCAUAUUCAAAGAUAUUCAAAUACAUAUUUCUCUAUCAAACGUUUUAUGGCAUCUAUCUUACUGCUAAAUAAGAAAACAAACAAGGGUGUAAACAACUUACUUUUCUCAAUUAUCAGCUUUGUGCCAUUUCCAAAAAUAAGCUUAGCAAGUCCACCUCCAGUAGUCACACUACUAAAAACUUCACAACAAAUACUAUUGACUGCUCUAUUGUCAUAAAAAAAUUGGUGCAGAAUACUCACUUGAUUCAAUUAGUAAUUUGGUGCCACUUCCAAAGAUAAGCUUGCCAUUUCCACUACCAGAAUUCACACAUCAUGCAGCAUCAUGACAAGAACACCUCACAAGGAGUCUUAAGGACGACCUAUGUUUUAAUCUAUCUCAAAUAGCUCCUGACAUACACAAUGAAAUGUAUACAUAUUUAUACUGCAUUGUGCAACCAGGGCUUUGUCAAAUCUAUAUUUACCAUUUCUCUAUCAGGUCUGGAUUCUUUGUAGAAGUAAAAGUUAAACUUUUAACAUUAAUAGGGAAGAGCAACAGUAAAGUUCCUAAGAAUAUACCAUUAUAAUUGUUUAUAACAUACUUACUUGUUUGGACAAUGACUUUGGUUCCAUGAGCAAAGAGAAGUUUUGCCUGAUUACUAGUAGUCACACAGUGUCAUACCUGACUACAUAAACUUGAAUAUUUAAUAUUAUGAGUUACAAUCUGUACAUUAAUUGUACAAAUGAAUUGUCCAUUGUAAUUUCAACUUUCCACCAUUUAUCUAACCAACGUCCAAAUCCGAUGCAUGUUGUGAAAAAGUAAAUUAGGCUUACUUGUUUGUACAAGUACAGUGGUUCCCCUUCCAAAGAUAAUCUUCAUUCACACACUGGGUAAUGGCUUAUCAAAAAUUACAAGAGCUGCUCUUCCAAUCCAAAGCACAUAACAUACUCCUUACAUAAUUUGUUUAUGGUUAUGGUUGUAGUAUUCAGUAGACGCUUUAGUUUACUAAAGAUGAUACUACUUAAGAUGAUUUGCAUUUUUGAUUAAUUGAUGAUUUUCAGUGCAUUGUGAUGCAGUGUUAUUAUAGGACUUUCAUUUCACAGAAACUUGGGAUUUUGUCGGAUGUCAAUAGUAUUAUAUAACAAAGAACCAGGAGAACUACAAAACAUCUACAGAAUACUCACUUGAUUCAAUUAGUAAUUUGGUGCCACUUCCAAAGAUAAGCUUGCCAGAUCCACCCCCAGCAGUCACACAUUAUGCAGCAUCAUGACAAGAACACCUUAAGGAUUUCAUUCUUAAGGACGACCUAUGUUUUAAUCUACACAAAAUGUUUCCACAUAUACAAUAAAAUGUUGUAUUUAUACUGUCUAGCCUGUUUGAUGAGCAUCUGCUAAUAGCAAAAAUGCUAAAAUAAAAUGGAAUUGAUCUGUUAGUAAUGAUAGAUAUUAAUGCACUAAAUCCUGAAACACUACAACUAAAUCAUAACAAAUCCAUGUCCACUAAUUGGCCUGAAAAGAAAGGCUUUGUUCCUUUGAUAAAGGUCAGCUUUGCUGCAAAUCCACCAGCUACACAUUGCCUUAAUACACAAUAACUACCUCAAACCUGUAUGCCCAUUUCUCUCAUAUACAAUUAAGAUAUUUCAUGACAUUUCACUUGCCUGAUGCCACAGUCAGUUUAGUUCCUCGACCAAAAAUGAUCUUCCUUCCUCCCUGAUCAGUCACACUAAGUAAGACACCAUGCCAAAAACCCAGAACUAUCGACUACAUAUGUUAUAUUUUUAAGCUUUUAAGUGGAGAAAAUACUUUUAUGAUGUUUUUUAGUAAUAGUUUAUAAAGACUUGAUCGUUCAGUUAAUUGUUGGUUUAUAUACAUUUUGGUUUGAGUAACGCUAUUAUGACAAUUACAAUUUAAAAAAAUGUCUCAUACAUCUCAAUAGCAUUCACAUUUAUAAACACUACACUUAGAUACAUUUAAUACGUAAUUAAUACGUGUAUUUGAUAUAGAUGUGUAUAUCUUUUAACUACAUUUGGGGUUGGCAUUCUUAGUUAGAAAAGUACAUUUUCUUCACUGCAAAAAGAAAAAAAGAAGAAAAUAAUACUGCUUAGCUUGUGACUUACUUGUUUGGACAAUGAGCUUAGUUCCACGUCCAAAGAAGACUCUUCCCUGACUACCAGUAUUCACACUGCAAUAUAUCUGACUACAAAAACAGGGCUAGUUGCUCCCACUCUGACUUGAUUCACAUUCCACAAUUACUUACAUUAAUUUCAAACAGUUUUUCAGUCUGUUCUGUCUUAAGUCGUGCUUGUCAGGAUGACUUCAUUAUGUUCUAUCACAUGGAGUUAUUCUUAAUAUUUAGCUAGAUAUAAGUUCUGACUAAUCUUGAAAUGUUGUGAAUUUUUGGUUAGGAUAAAAAGCUUUGCUCCUUACCUAAUGGUCAGCUUGUCUACAAUCUACACAGUGCCUUCAAAACAAAUACCUAAUCCUCCUGGCGAUUUCCCUCACAUCUAAAUUAAGAGAUUUAUUGGGAUUGCACUUGCCUGAUUCCACAGUCAGUUUAGUUCCUCGACCAAAAAUGAUCUUCUGUGCUCCCUGAGUCACACUAAGAACGACACCAUGCCAAAAACCCAGAACUAUCGACAACACUUACACACUUUGUAUCAUGCAAUUUUUUUGAAAAAUAUGUUUAUCCGGCCUUUAGUAAUAGUUUAGAAGUUACUUUCGUAAUUUAAUUUAAUUUUGAAACAAGGAUUUAAAAAGACUUAUUUUAAUGGUAGUCUGGCAGUUGGUUGGCUGUUCCUUCUUAAUGCAUACUUUAGUUCAAUUCAUGUUCUAUUACUCUAACAAUGUACUACCUUUGUCCCAUUAAGAGUGUAUAUUCCUCCACUACAAGGAGUAUAAUGUCUUUCCAUAAACCCUCUUAACAAGAACAGCCUGAACAGAACAUGUCCCUGUUUGCAGACAUUUAGUGAUUUUGUGAAUUUGACUUGCCUGGUUCGACCGUCAGUUUAGUUCCUUGACCAAAAAUGAACUUAUUUCCCUGGUUAGUCACACUAAGGAAGACAUCAUGCCAAAAACCCAUGGCACAUAAAACCCAAAUUCUUUCUUUUUCAAUCCACAUCACUAAUAUAAUUAUCAUCAUGUAAUCAAAGUUCUCUUUUUAUUAAUUGAUUUCUCAUUUGUAUCACUCUUUGUAUGCUAAAAGCAUGUAAACUGAAGAGUAUGGUAUGGCAAAGUUGAGAUAUCUUUCAACUCAAAAAUCUUUCUCUUGACAUACGUAAUAUUGUUCUAUUCAUGUUCUACUGCUAUUGAAUCAUUCAAAGAGUUUGUGCAUCCACUUACUGGUGUGGAUAAAAAGCUUUGUUCCUUUGCUAAAAGUCAGCUUGUUUGAAGAUCCACUUGUCACACAGUGCAUUAGUACACAACCAAUACCUCAUCCCUGUAUACACAAUUCCCUCAUAUACAAAGUAAGAGAUGUAUUUGUAUUUCACUUGCCUGAUUCAACAGUAAGUUUAGUUCCUCGACCAAAAAAGAUCUUAUAUCCUCCCUGAGUAGUCACACAAAGUAGAAGACCAUGCCAAAAACCCAGAACUAUCGACAACACAUACAUACAUUGGAUCAUGUAAAUACUUUUAAGCUAUUUUGUGAGAAUUUAAAUGUAUAUAUUUAGAUUAGAUAUUUACAUUUAAAUUCUGACAUAGUAAUAUGUAAACUAAACAUUUUGACAGGUUAUCAAACUGCUGAGAAAUGAUUUAUUUUCAUCCAAUUGUGAUAGUAACACUUUGUCAAAUUAAAGAGUUUUCUCCCAGGAGCUACAAUGAUUUAAGGUUUUGAAAAAUAAGGAGCGAUUUCAGGUAGAAGUUGGCAUCUGGCAUCUAUUCUAAAGUUUCUAGAAAUUCUAGAAUAUACAGUAUAUAUUGAAUUUCUGUGAUUUUGUGUGAUUACUUGCCUGGUUCCACAGUCAAUUUAGUUCCUUGACCAAAAAUGAUCUUAUAUCCCUGGUUAUUCACACUAAGAAAUACAUCAUACCAAAAACCCAACAGAAGGUUACCGCAACCUCUCUCCCUUUAAUACGGAUUAAUAAUAGAAUAGAAUCAGGUAACUUGCUCAUCUAUAAACCUCUUUGAUAGCAUAAUAUGGAGAACCAGUAUACAGUUUAGCCAUCUGUCAAUACAUAUAUUUUUGUACUAAUACAGUGUUUUCUACCACACUGUAAUGCCCUAAAUGUAUUUCCCUAAAGUAUAUCAUCUAUAAACCUCUUUGAUAGAAUAAUAUACAGAACCAGUAUACAGUUUAGCUAGCUGUUGAUUCAUAUAUCUUCAUGCUAAUACAGUGUAUUCUACUGCCCUGUAAUGCCCUAAAUGUAUUUACCUUAAUAGAGUAUAUCCUAUGAAUCACACAUAAUACAGUAUGUAUCUUAGAUAUGUAAAACAUUGCUUACUUUGUUGCACUAGAAGGCGAGUCCCUUUCCCAAAGACAAUCUUAGUGCCAGCAUUAUUCACACAGACUCAUCCACCAGUCUCUAAACCUGUGUUGGUUUUCUUAACACGGAUAAAUAUUUUGUUCCAAUUCCAACAUUAAAUGUUGGUAAUAAAACAGGAAAGGAAUUCAACUACAUGACAGUAGCACGAAUACCUAGUCCAUACUGGUCACUUACUUGUCUGAAUUAAAAGUUUGGUCCCCUUCCCAAAGAUGACUUUCCUACUACCACCAGCAUCCACACAGCACUAUACCUGACUACAUUAACACCUUUGGUCUCACUCUGGAAAACAGCUCUGUGAAGAAUACUACAAACUCAUCGACCUGAUUUUAUAAAAAAUAUCCUCAAUAUUAUAAAAGUAUCUUAUUAAUUGCGUCUGAAGCAUUUCAUUUUUACACUCCUUUUCUAUCUAUGCAGACCUCUGUUGAGAUAAGAAGAAUUUGUCUUCUUUAGGGAACUAAUUCAAUAUAUACAAAUAUACUAGUGGUCUAACUAAAAGAACUGGCAGGUGACUAUGUGAGAAAAUAUGAAAAGAGACAUCGAAAGGCAAGCUAUACAAAGGUAACUCACCAGAAUAAACAAAUAGUUUAGUUCCACGGCCAAAGGUAAGUUUACCACCAGAAUACACACAACAUUCUCCCUCACUACAUUAACUUGGGUGAAGGCAAAUCAUGCCUGCUGGCUAUCAAUUAGCAUCUGAACCAAACAUACUGCUGUAAAGGUAAAUAGUAAUGUACUGUCUUGACAUAUGCGAAUAUCCUCACGUGAGCUUUAUAUUUAUAUAUGGCUUACUUUGGACCUACAUAGCAUCAUGACAUUUUGACAACCUAUACUCUGGAUAUUUCAACCUGAGUGAGUUUUAAACAUAAAAUAUCAUUCAUAUUUCAUUGUUUAUCUGGAAACAUUCAAAAUGAACUGAAGUGGGAGCAAAAUUAAAUAAAACUUACGUGAUUCCACAGUCAGUUUAGUGCCCCUACCAAAUAUGAUUUUUUCAUAGCCUCCAGUAGUCACACUGAAGUAUAGACCACAUCAAAAACUACAUACAUCUCCUCCAAAAAGCUUUUAAAGACCCCUGAUGAAUUUUUCAUUGGGGUAUUGUUAAAUUGUUCAGCAAUAGUCAGAAUUGUUAUCUGUAAGCCAUCCUACCUGAAGGGUUUUUACAUCACUGGUAUUUAACUAGUGAUGGUAGUCACUAAGGCAUUCAACUGCUUCAUUGUUUGGCCACCCACAACAGUGCAUGGUCACAGACAUAUUUAUCUCAGGUAUACAAAAUGAAAAAAAAUUAGGAAUGUAAUGCAACUGGAAGGCUAAUUAUACAGAUAAGGCUUUAGUUAUUAGUUUAUGUCACCACACCAUAAACUUUCGGAAAAAAUUCAAAAACAACCAAUUAAUACGUUUAGUAUAUAAACUUCAGGAAUAGUUGCGUACUCACUUGGACUAACUGAAAGUUUUGUUCCACGACCAAAGAACACUCUUCCAGUAGAGUCAGCUAACCCACAGUGUUGCACUAAGGCACAUUAAACAGUGUGCAUACUGCAUGCUUAAUUCUACACACUAUAAAACGUUCCAAGAACAUAUAAUGUCUGAUAUUGCCAUUUGCCAUUUCGUACGAUAUUAAUACCAAAACAACAACCAUGUCACAUCAUAUUACGAUCUGGACAGUACUGCGCAAACCCCUUUUACUGUUAAACAGCAUUUAAGUAUGCUCAUUAUGAGCCGAGAUUUUAAAUUUGAUUACCAGUACAGUCUUAAUAAAACAAAAUAUCUGAAACUCACGUGAUUCCACAAUCACUUUGGUUCCACUGCCAAAAAUAAUCUUGCCAGUUCCUUGAUUCACACCAAGACUGACAUCAUGUCAAAUACCAUGAAACGUAGUGCAUGACAUUCUUGCAAUUUUGUUGCACUUCAAACUUUUUGACAUUACAGUAAUAUUCCUUACCCUAACUUUUAAAAAGCAUUUUUGAGGGUUCCUUUUUGUUGCAACCAACACAAAGAUGGCAUAUAUAUAGCAUGUGCCCAUGUUAUAGUGUCUCAUUCACAGUAUAUUUAACACAAAGAUGGCAUAUAUAUAGCAUGGGCCCAUGUUAUAGUGUCCCAUUCACAGUAUAUUUAACAGAAAGAUGGCAUAUAUAUAGCAUGUGCCCAUGUUAUAGUGUCCCAUUCACAGUAUAUUUAACAGAAAGUCGUAUAUUCAUAGUAAUUUUUGACAUUACAUACUGUUCACUCAGAUAAGUGAUAAUCAUCCUGCUAACAGAAAUGUACUUACGUGUUUCAAUAUUAAGCCUGGUACCUUGGCCAAAGAUGACUUUUCCAACAGUGCCAGUAUUCACACCACAUAACAUUACAAUAAUGUAGUCACAACUUCUGUCAAGUAUGUGGCUGGUAUAACGCUUGUAUGAUUUUCAAAUCUUAAAUUGUUGAUAUUAAAUUCUUCAGUUAUCCAAAUAAUUUACAAUUAAUAUCACUAUUAAUGAUGUAUUCUCACCUGUUUCUACAUAGAGCUGAGUUCCAUGCCCAAAGACAAUUUUAUCUGAUGAAGUCCUCACACUAUGUGUUGUAUCACACAUAAAACUCUAUCUAAUCAGUCAUCCAUCUUAAAUACAUCUCACAUUGUCCACAAGACCUCUAAUUACAAAUGCAAUCAUAGUGGCACCAAUAGUCAAUUCAUAGAAUUAUUUCAAUAGUAAGAAAGCCAUUUUCAACUCACUUGACUUAACAAUGAGCUUAGUACCACUUCCAUAAAUGAGCUUGUUGUUUCCAGAACUAGUAGUCACACUAAGCUAAACACCAUGACAAAUAUGUAGCACUGAAUCAUUACAAUUCAUUCAACAACCAGUUAUAUUCGUAAAACGAAUUUCUAAAAGCAUUUUUGAGGGUUCUUUGUCUUGUAUCACACAUAAAACCCUAUCUAAUCAGUCAUCCAUCUUAAAUACAUAUCUCGUUUCAAACUGCGGAAUAUUGACACAAGGUAGAUCUGCGCUGGAAUACACAAACAUUGUCCACAAGACCUCUAAUUACAUCUCACAAAUCAUAGGGGCACCAAUAGUCAAUUCAUAGAAUUAUUUCAAUAGUAAGGAUGAAAAAAUUUCAAAGAAGAAAGCAAUUUUCAACUCACUUGACUUAACAAUGAGCUUAGUACCACUUCCAUAAAUGAGCUUGUAGUUUCCAGAACUUGAAGUCACACUAAGCUAAACACCAUGACAAAUACGUAGCACUGAAUCCUUACAACUCAUUCAAAGGGAUACAAAUGUAAGACACUUAUUAUCUCUUAAAUAUGAUCUUAACAGUAUGUCUCUUAUGCUGUUAAUGGAAGGCUAAGGGAUUAUUUUUAACUCCUCGUGAAUGCAAUGCCAACGCAUAC
ensembl:lncRNA